rnacentral:rRNA from 1 species
UACGAAGGGGGCUAGCGUUGCUCGGAAUUACUGGGCGUAAAGCGCACGUAGGCGGGUUCUUAAGUCGGUGGUGAAAUCCUGGAGCUCAACUCCAGAACUGCCUUCGAAACUGGGAAUCUUGAGUCCGGGAGAGGUGAGUGGAACUGCGAGUGUAGAGGUGAAAUUCGAUAGAUAUUCGCAAGAACACCAGUGGCGAAGGCGGCUCACUGGCCCGGUACUGACGCUGAGGUGCGAAAGCGUGGGGAGCAAACAGG